AUGUUAAUAUCAAUAAGAAAUUCAUCUCCCUUUCUCCUAUUCUUUUCUAUACAUUGCUAAUAGGUUCUAGUUAUUACAUAAUACAUUAUUAGCACAAAUUGCUUUUGAAGUUGGACGCCAUAUCGUAUCAACGUUGGCGAAAGAGAUUUUUGCUUCAUCGAGUGAAUCCUUGUUUUCUUCUCCAUCAAAACCUCAGGAUUAACUUUUGUAGGAGGUGGCUCAUGCUUAUUAGUCAGGUAAAUUUCAUUUUGAAUAUGAACUUAGCCAGCAAGUAAUAGCGACUGGUUUUAUUACUUCACUAAACAAGCAAUGUGUUCAUACGUGACUACUACAUGAUUUUAGUAUGUUAUAUUUUUAUUUUAUUUUCUUUCUACUUGUCUGGUGGUAUGCUUAAAUCUCAAUCCAACCAGUUAAUUUUUGUUUUAGUCCAUUCAAAUGCUUUUAUUAAACCAAACUAAAAAAGGUGAUGAUGUUUGAAAUAUACAACUUGAAAACAAGAACUCUUGAUUUCAAGAAUUGGUAUGGAACAAUGGGACUCUUUGCAUUAAUAAAUUUUAAAUCUAAUUUAAACAGAAAAUUGGGACCAGUAGCUGGUCAGCCUGGGUUCUAGUUAAGCUUCUGCCAAGAACACAAGUAGUUUUAAAUUAUCAUAUUAAUAAAUUAUGUAGGAACUAACUUAGUAACUUAUGUAUUGCUUUGUCUUAUAAUAAUUGUAAUUGUAAUUAUUUUUAGGGGACCAGAUCGUGAUGAGGUAACUAUGUAAUUAUUAAACUAAAGGGGAAGGUUCAUUUGAGAAGAAAAUUUAAUUGAGAAGAAAAAGAACAAAGGGUAAUUUUGUAAAACAUUAAAUUGUUUGUUUACUUAUCUCAUUUAUUAUAAUUUUUGACUAAUUAAUUAGUCAUAAAGACUAGUAUACUCCACACUAACUUUUUUUGACUACACACAUCAAAAGUUAUCUUACAUAUUUCGAAAUUCAUCAUACACGUUGAAAUUUAUCCUACACAACUAGUAAUUUAUCCUACACAACUCGUAAUUUAUCCUACACUUUAAAUUAUUUUAUUUUAUUUUUUUGAAAAAAUAUAUAUUUUGAAGAUAAGUUACAAAAAAAUUAAUGUAGUUAGCUAUUAAAGAAAAAUACUACAAAUUAAUGACAUAUGUAGAUUUACCUAUGUACCCUUAUAGUAACAUUAAAUACUUAUAUUAAAUGAAGUAAAAUAAAGCAUUAUUAUUGGUUGAAAUUUCUUCUUUUUUCUUCUUACAAAAAAUUUCUUCUCACUUGAACCCUCCACUUAAACUAAAAUGUUCAAAUUGUAAUUAUUUUUAGGGGACCAGAUUGUAAUUGUAUAAUACAUUAUCAUAAAGAUACAAACUAGUUAACGCAGUUAACGCACCUUGUACAUAAUUGUAGUUUAUACAUUAUAUAUGAUUCUAUUAAUUUAUUAGUUUUAGUGUCAUCUUAGUAUGGUAUGAAUGGAUGAAGUCUACUUUGAUUAUUAUAUUAAUAUACUUUGAAUUAUUUUUUGUUAUUUUUUGACUAUUCGACUGAUUGCACAAAUUCAGUACAAAUUGGAUUGGGUAUUUAGGUUGAAAACUGUUGUGACAGCUGUAUGAAAAAAGUAUCACAAGCUUAAAGUCUUACCCAUUUAUCUUGUUAUAAAAGGACCUCAUUUAUCUUACCCAUAAUUAUCAUAGUUAUAUCAUUAUGAUUAUUGUUUUUUUUUAUUUAUGACUAAAAUCUUAAUAUCGGUAAAACUAGUGGUUUUUAGUAGCAUUCCAAGAUCACUACUGCAAUUUUAUUAACCUUAUUAUAAUAAUGAACAACUUGUUUUUAUAUGAUGAUAUAUUAUAAUAUUGAAGAUUGCAUAAUUACCAUGAUACCUGUAGAUGUUUAUCAUCUCAAUGCUUGCAUUUUAACUUCCUUAGAAAUUUAUGAAUUAUACAAGACUUAAAUAGUUGAAAUGUUUGUAUAUAUAACAGAAGAUGUAUGUUAUAUGUUAUUUCCCAUAUGUUAUUAAACUAUCAUGCUGUUAGAGUGAAAAAUAUUUGCAUAUAAUCUAUACUUGUGAUUAGUUAUACCAUGUUAGAUUAAAACAUAAACUAUACAUAUUUGCAUAUGUUAUUAUUUCAUAAAGUUUUCGUAUAACUUGUUUUAUAUGAUGAUAUGUUAUAACACCACAUAUACUAUGUAAUUUGACAUUAUAUUCUACAUACUAUUAUUUAUUUGUUGGGAUAAUAUUUCAAAGUUGUUUAAUAAGCAUGGUUAAUUCAUGCUUACUUAUUUAAAACAUUUUGAGGUAAAGACAUAACACCCGAAGCGUGAACCAUUAUAAAUAUAUGGAAGCUUGUAAGAUUUUACAUUGAUAAAUCGUAAUAACUCGGUCAUGUAAUUACUUCUUGAUAUAUAUCAUAUGAUGAGAAGAGUAUUUAUAAGAAUACGUUGAAUAAAACAAUUUCCAUUUGUCAAACCUAAAAUAUGCUCAUAAGGUAGCAAUAUUACUAAAUAAUAUAUAAGGUUUGAAAUAACCAGAAUAAAGGUUGUGUGGUUCUAAUCCAUUCCUUCAAAUGAAUGUGAAUAUAUAAUGAUCAGGGUCGUGAUCAUGGUCAUAACAAUGGCUAUGGCAAUUGUAAUAGUGCUACCAUGAAAAUUAUGUAAUUAUAAUACAUUCCCUAAGGUGAAUGCGAUGAUAUAACGAUCAAUUCAAAGGUUAAGAUCAUAUACAUAACUAAGAAAAUUGUAAU
rnacentral:lncRNA from 1 species